AUACAUAACUAAGAAGGCUACUAUAAAACUUUUAAGAGAAUAAACAUGGAGAUUUUGUUCCACCAUAUGGCCAUAUGAUGUUAAGCCCACCACUGCUUCAAAGUACACCAAUGUUAGUGGGUCCUACGCUAAUUACAAAAUGUGGGAGACAAAUUAAAUAGUACUGGUGCUAACAACAAGCUACAGUGUAUUAAAUUAAUUUCUUUGUAAGAGCAAAGUGAGUAUACAAAAAUAAAGAGUCAUAAAAGCAAUUAAAAAC